UACAGAGGUCUCAAGCGUUGUUCGGAUUCAUUGGGCGUAAAGGGUGCGUAGGUGGCGCGCUAAGUCAGGUGUGAAAUUUCGGAGCUUAACUCCGAAACUGCAUUUGAUACUGGUGUGCUUGAGGACUGGAGAGGAGACUGGAAUUCAUGGUGUAGCAGUGAAAUGCGUAGAGAUCAUGAGGAAGACCAGUGGCGAAGGCGGGUCUCUGGACAGUUCCUGACACUGAGGCACGAAGGCCAGGGGAGCAAAACGGGG
rnacentral:rRNA from 1 species